rnacentral:rRNA from 1 species
ACUCCUACGGGAGGCAGCAGUGGGGAAUAUUGGACAAUGGGGGGAACCCUGAUCCAGCCAUGCCGCNGUGUGUGAAGAAGGCCUUAUGGUUGUAAAGCACUUUAAGCGAGGAGGAGGCUACUGAGACUAAUACUCUUGGAUAGUGGACGUUACUCGCAGAAUAAGCACCGGCUAACUNC